CUUCCAACAGGCCUUAGCUUCCGUUUAGGAGUCAAGACCCGGACAUUAUGAUGACUCAGGUUCUUUGGAAUUCAAG